ACGUAGGGUGCGAGCGUUAAUCGGAAUUACUGGGCGUAAAGCGUGCGCAGGCGGUUUAAUAAGUUAGAUGUGAAAUCCCCGGGCUCAACCUUGGAACUGCUUUUGAGACUGUAUGACUAGAGUGUGGGAGAGGGGGGUGGAAUUUCACGUGUAGCAGUGAAAUGCGUAGAUAUGUGGAGGAACACCGAUGGCGAAGGCAGCCCCCUGGGACAAUACUGACGCUCAGGCACGAAAGCGUGGGGAGCAAACAG
rnacentral:rRNA from 1 species